CCAAAAUUUCUCUUCUCCCUAAAAUUUCUCUUCUCUUCUUCGUAUCAUCAAAUCAGUCUUCAAAUCUCGGAGAUUUCUUUCCAAAUUCAUAUUUUCUAAAUUACGCGAUUAUAAAUUGAAGGAAUUGAUUCUCGUUGUUCAAUAUCUUCCGAUCUCAUCAAAUUCAGUCUUCACGUAUCGCGAUUUUCUUCUUUUUGAAGCUAUUUUGCUUGUCAAUUUCUGCCGAUCUCAUCAACCUAUCGCGAUUGUCUCCUUUUCGAAGCUAUUUUGCUUGUCUUUGUUCAACAAUGGCAGACGUACAAGGGACAAAAGAUCAAAGAUUGGCAAACAGGACUGCCAUCGAAGACUCUGAGAAUCUUACGUGCCAAAUAUUGUAGUGACGUGUACAUCCAAUUGCAACUGCGAGUUGGUGAAGGAGAAGGCAAAACACCAUCUGACUGAAUGCAACAAAUUUGCCAAGGUUGAUGUGGACGAACUUAUUGCAAAUUGGGAAAAACAAUUGGAGCUUUGGAGGAUUAUAAAUUAACUUCUUUUGUGACUCUUGCCAUUGAAUAUUUUUGUAUUUAGAAAUACUAAUGGCAUCACCUAUAUCAUUUUGGACAUGUUAUGUGAGUCUUCAGUAUUGAGAAUUAUCGUAACUCAUCUACAAAAUAUUAAGAAGUACAUGAUUUGGUAUUGUUUCAAUGUUGUGUUGAUAUUAUUUUGUUAUUCACAACUAUAUGCCAAUUAUUGAGCAUUCCAAAUAGUAAUGUUAGAGAAA